GAAACUUCUCAACCACCUUCAAAGUGGCUUGGAAAUGGGGGGACUGUUGCAGGCUUUUUAUCAAAGUCUGCUCCCCUGAAAUAUAUUAGUGGUGUCUGGGCUGACUGCCACAGGUGUGAUAACUAUCAGUGCCUUGGUGGGAACCUUGCUGCUUCCAACUCUGAUGACCA
rnacentral:misc_RNA from 1 species